ensembl:misc_RNA 7SK 7SK RNA
GGAUGUGAGGGCAAUCUGACUGUGACAUCUUUCACCCCAUCAACUGCCAAGGUUGAAUCACUGGCUUAUCUAACUGGCUUAUCCACUGGCUAGGUGGGUUUCCCCCUUCUCCCUCACUGCUCCAUGUGCAUCCCUGCUGAAGCUGCAGGGACAAUCUUCCCUGAAUAGAGAUGGGCCAGUCUUCAGUCAAGAGCUGAGUUUGAGUAGCUGUGUUCCUCUGCUAGAACCUCCAAACAAGUUCUCAAGAUCUAGAGUAUUUGUAGUAUUGUCCUUUUCUGUCCUUACAUAAUACUAAACAAUUUUAUGUAUUUAACAUGUAAACUAUGAU